UACGUAGGGGGCUAGCGUUGUCCGGAUUUAUUGGGCGUAAAGAGCGUGUAGGCGGCCAGGUAGGUCUGGUGUGAAAACGUCGAGGCUUAACCUUGAGAUGUCAUCGGAAACCAUUUGGCUAGAGUCCGGAAGAGGAAAGUGGAAUUCCUGGUGUAGCGGUGAAAUGCGCAGAUAUCAGGAAGAACACCAAUGGCGAAAGCAGCUUUCUGGGACGGUACUGACGCUGGAGACGCGAAAGCGUGGGGAGCGAACAGG
rnacentral:rRNA from 1 species